rnacentral:rRNA from 1 species
UACGUAGGGUGCAAGCGUUGUCCGGAAUUAUUGGGCGUAAAGAGCUUGUAGGCGGUUUGUCGCGUCUGCUGUGAAAUUUCGGGGCUCAACCCCGAACUUGCAGUGGGUACGGGCAGACUAGAGUGUGGUAGGGGAGACUGGAAUUCCUGGUGUAGCGGUGAAAUGCGCAGAUAUCAGGAAGAACACCCGUGGCGAAGGCGGCUCUCUGGGACGGUACUGACGCUGAGACGCGAAAGCGUGGGGAGCGAACAGG